rnacentral:lncRNA from 1 species
GGCUUAUUUACAGGAAUUUGUGAACCUUGCUAUGAGUUUGUCUUUGAAAAUGUAAUACCUACAAAGAACACUGCCUUCCCAAGCAAGAAUUAUUAGAAUUUCAUGAAAAAAUAGAUCAGGUAUGAAAGCAAGAUGAAGUCAAGAUUUUUAAAGGAAAUGGCAUUUGUGUUUAAAUCUAGCUUGAGUCUCAAAAGCCACAUGUAAACACCAAUGGAAAUCUCCUGCCUUCUUCAAGUCAGGGUCAAGACAGCAUGGGCCUUUCAAUAGCUGUCUGUGGAAGAUGAUAUAUAUAUGGUAGAAUGCAACUCCUAGGGAAAAUGAUCUGUUGCUGAGUAUCAUUUUCCAUCAUGCUUCAAAUCUUCCUCUUGUUCACAACUGCCUCAGACCAUUUAAAGAAAUUCUUUGCUAAAAUCUUACAUCUAUGGACAGAAUAGGUUUCACUCAAGUCAGUGGCUGCAUGUUUUCUUCCACUAAUGACUUUCCAUCACUUGUCCAUGUUGUUCUUUGUGUUAGACACCAUUCCAAACAAUUAUGUACUUAACAAUUACAAAACUGACUCUAUUUUAAGUGUGUCCCAUUGUUGUAUUCAGUACGAAGCACCUACCUAUAGUAGAUUACUGUCAAUUUCAGCUUGACAGUAGCCUAGGAAGUAACUAUUUCUAAAUCUCUUUAUUGUGAAGAAAUGGAUCUAGUGACAUCAAUAACUUUUACAAAGCUGUAUAAAUAGGAAGACACAAAGAUGGAAUUUGGACCCACCUUUUCCUUGAAAGAGUAUGUAUACAUUCGUACAAUAGCUUUGCCAUUCUGCGUUGUAUUUUCUAGAUUGUUAAGACCGGAUAUGGACUUGCUAUUUUGUUCUUCUAUGACCUCUCACACUUGCAAUUGGGAGAGGUUGGAAACCAGCAUACUAAGCAGAUGCCCACUACAUGUUACAGCUGUAACAACAGCACAGCCUCAGUGGGUCAGCAGUGUAGAGAACCUUACACUACUGUAUAAGACACAUCUGCAACAGAGUUAAGCCAUGAAGAAGGAUGCCAGUUUGCUUACGCUGUCAAGGAACACACAAUUAGAAAGACCCGAAUUUGCACCAUCUUCUUUCAUAUUCUCUACACAAGAUAAUAUCAGAAGUGCUGUUUCAAGUAAGAAUUGGAUGGGUCUGCCUUACUGUUCCCUUCAAAACCAUUAGAUGAUAGAAGGAAAAGCCACUUUUGUGUGUGUGGCUUAAUCCAGUAUUUGAUGUGCUACCUAAAGUCCAUAUUGAAGCAAUGUAUUGACCAAAUGACUGCUUGCUUUCAUGUGAGCAUCAAAAUCUACUUAUCUUUUAAAAAUAGCUGAGUGACAUCUGUGACAAUGAUGAAACAACCCUAUUCUCUCUUAACUUCAGCAACUUGUUUUUAUCUGCUCCCAUUGUCAAUUAUAAUUUCCUUUUACCUCCUUUCCUCCCAUUACCUCUACCCACUCCCCGCAUCCACUUCUCCUCUGUUUCUGUUCAUUAAGGGCAGGCCUUGCAUUGAUGUCAACAAAGCAUGGCAUAUCAAGUUGAGGUAGGACUAAGCUCCUCCCAUUGUAUUAAGGCUGGGUGAGGCAACCCACUAUGGGAAAUAGGCUUUCAAAAGCCAGCUCAAGUGUUAGGGAUA